rnacentral:rRNA from 2 species
UUACCUGUGUGACUGCGUACCUUUUGUAUAAUGGGUCAGCGACUUAUAUUCUGUAGCAAGGUUAACCGAAUAGGGGAGCCGGAGGGAAACCGAGUCUUAAUUGGGCGUUAAGUUGCAGGGUAUAGACCCGAAACCCGGUGAUCUAGCCAUGGGCAGGUUGAAGGUUGGGUAACACUAACUGGAGGACCGAACCGACUAAUGUUGAAAAAUUAGCGGAUGACCUGUGGCUGGGGGUGAAAGGCCAAUCAAACCGGGAGAUAGCUGGUUCUCCCCGAAAGCUAUUUAGGUAGCGCCUCGUGAAUUCAUCUCCGGGGGUAGAGCACUGUUUCGGCUAGGGGGCCAUCCCGGCUUACCAACCCGAUGCAAACUGCGAAUACCGGAGAAUGUUAUCACGGGAGACACACGGCGGGUGCUAACGUCCGUCGUGAAGAGGGAAACAACCCAGACCGCCAGCUAAGGUCCCAAAGUCAUGGUUAAGUGGGAAACGAUGUGGGAAGGCCCAGACAGCCAGGAUGUUGGCUUAGAAGCAGCCAUCAUUUAAAGAAAGCGUAAUAGCUCACUGGUCGAGUCGGCCUGCGCGGAAGAUGUAACGGGGCUAAACCAUG